rnacentral:rRNA from 1 species
UACGGGGGGGGCAAGCGUUGUUCGGAAUUACUGGGCGUAAAGGGCUCGUAGGCGGCCAACUAAGUCGGAUGUGAAAUCCCACAGCUUAACUGUGGAACUGCUUGGUAUACUGCCAGUCUUGAGCCAGCUAGGGGCUACCGGAACAAAUGGUGGAGCGGUGAAAUGCGUAGAUAUCAUUUGGAACGCCAAUGGUGAAAACAGGUAGCUGGGGCUGUGCUGACGCUGAGACACGAAAGCCAGGGGAGCAAACGGG